GUAGCAGGUUAAGUAAAGUAUGGGAGGUAUCUUCAGGACACUGGAUCUAAUUUUUGGCUGUAAUACCUUAGAGAUGCCUGUCAUGCAUGGUAACAGCUUAAAAGCCCAAGUAAUACAGGACUGAAGGAUUCAUGAAGAAAGGGAAAGACUCUGAUAGAAUGCGAACCAAGAUGAAAAUACUCUGACAAGUGGCCAAGAAUUGGAAACACAGUGGGAAAUAAAGGAACAUGUCUUUGCGGUGGA